GGCUUGUUGAUAAUAAUAAUAAGUUUGGCCUGCCCAAUGAGUUAAUUAAAUGGCCGCGGUAAUUUGACUGUGCAAAGGUAGCAUAAUCACUAGUUUUUUAAUUGAGAGCUUGUAUGAAAGGUUUGAUGAGGAAAUUUCUGUCUCUUUAAAAAUUUUUUAGAAUUUUAUUUUUAAGUGAAAAAGCUUAGAUGUUUAUAGAAGACGAGAAGACCCUGUAGAGUUUAAUAUUUACAGUAUUUAAAGUUUUUAUGAAAGUUUUUAAGGUAUUGAGAAUAUUUUGUUGGGGUGAUAGGAAAAUUAGUUAAACUUUUCUUUAUUGGAACAUUGAUGUAUGAUUAUAUGAUCUUGAAUUUUAAAUUAUAAGAAUAAAUUACCUCAGGGAUAACAGCGUAAUCUUUUUGAGAGUUCUUAUCGAAAAGGAGGAUUGCGACCUCGAUGUUGGAUUAAAAUUAAAUAUUGGUGAAAAAGCUAGUAGAUUAGGUCUGUUCGACCUUUAAAAUUUUACAUGAUCUGAGUUUAAACCGGUGUGAG
rnacentral:rRNA from 1 species